rnacentral:rRNA from 1 species
CCUACGGGAGGCAGCAGUGAGGAAUAUUGGUCAAUGGACGAGAGUCUGAACCAGCCAAGUAGCAUGAAGGAUGACUGCCCUAUGGGUUGUAAACUUCUUUUAUAAAGGAAUAAAACGAGGCACGUGUGCCUUUUUGCAUGUACUUUAUGAAUAAGGAUCGGCUAACUCCGUGCCAGCAGCCGCGGUAAUACGGAGGAUCCGAGCGUUAUCCGGAUUUAUUGGGUUUAAAGGGAGCGUAGAUGGGUUGUUAAGUCAGAUGUGAAAGUUUGCGGCUCAACCGUAAAAUUGCAAUUGAUACUGGCAGUCUUGAGUACAGUUGAGGUAGGCGGAAUUCGUGGUGUAGCGGUGAAAUGCGUAGAUAUCACGAAGAACCCCGAUUGCGAAGGCAGCUUACUAAACUGUGACUGACAUUGAUGCUCGAAAGUGUGGGUAGCAAACAGGAGUAGAUACCCCAGUAGUC